UCCUGUCCUUUGGACUGUAAAGGUUAUGUAGGUAAUCUUGGAAACAGUGGUAACAUGAUUGAAUUGGAAUGAGCUUUUGGCUAUUAUGGACCACUCCAAAGUGUGUGAGUUGCUAGAAACCCUCCUGGCUUUGCUUUUGUUGAAUCUGAAGAUUCCCAAAAUGCAGCUGAUGCCAUCUGAGGGCUAAAUGGAAGAACACUGUGUAGCUGCCAAGUAAGAGUAGAACUGUCUGAUGGUGAAAAGAAAAGUAGAAAUCGUGGCACACCUCCUUUUUGAGGUUGUCGCCCUCGAGAUAAUCAUCGGAGAUGGCGUCUUCCACUUCGCCACAGAUCUCUGAGACAGAGAAGCUUCUCUGGCAGCUGGAUCAGGUCCCUUUCUAGAGACAGGAGAGAGAUCACUUUCUCAGAGGAGAAAUCACAAGCCAUCUUGAUAUUUCUCUAGGUCUCAUAGCCGAUCUAGGUCAAGUGAAAGGAAAUAGAAAACAGCGUUCUUGUUGUGGCUCCGUAGUAAUGAACUCGGCUCGUAUCAAUGAGGAUUUGGGUUGGAUCCCUGGCCUAAGUCAGUGGGUUGAGGAUCUGAAGUUGCCGUGGGCUGUGGUGUGUGUAGCAUCCCAUGUUGCUGUGGUUGUGACUGUGGUACAAGCUGGCAGCUGAAGCUCUGAUUCGACCCAUAGCCUGAGAACAUCCGUAUGCCCAAUGUAAAAAAAACAAAAAAGAGAAAUAGAAAACCAGUUUGCAAGAAGAGUGGUAUACAGGAAAUAACUUCAUUUGACAGGACUCUGUGCAGAAAAUUCAAGUUUUAUUUGAGACUUCAUAAGCUUGGUGCAUUUUUAAGAUAUUUUAGCUGUUCAUAUUUGUUUGUCUCUUGGAACAAUGACACAAAAAGAUGUGAUUUUUCCGUGGUUUUAAAUGGAUAGCAUGAGGCAUGUAAUACCAGGAAUUGUUACUUUAUAAUGUUCCCUUAAGCAAAAUUGAAUUUGCUUUGAUUUUUAGUCUUGUAUAGACUGAUAGUAAACCUUUAGCUACUGCCCAGCUAAAAUGUGAUGUUCAAUAUUAUAGAAACAAAACUGACAAAAAUGUAAAAGACUUUCCAUAGCUGGGAUAUGGUAUGCAGUUGUAGUCGAGCAAGCAGUCUUUAAAAGCUGCUGUGAACACAAACCAGCAAUAAAAGUUAAAGUGGCACCAUUAAACUAGAUUAGAAUUUUUAAAAUCCCACUAGUCUUCAUAGUGGACAAGAGGUUGUCCAGUUGGUAUAGAAUCUAAGGAGGUUCAGGAAAGUUUACUUUUGCUUUAAGUCAUAAGUUUUUUCUUGAUUGUUGUAUAUGAAUACAUAGCUCUUGGUAACAUUCUUUAUUUGAAAACUUGAGACUAGUCAAGGUACUGAUGUCUUGCCCAGUUUAGGGGUACAUUGUAGAGCUGAACUUUGAGUUACCAUGCAAGGUUUUUUUUUUAUGCUGUCAUUUGUAAUGUGUUUUGUGAGAAUCCUUGGGAUUAAAGUUUUGGUUACAAAAAUAAAUAAAAAAUUUUUAAAGUAUAUAGAAAUCCCUUUCCUAAUUCUUUUCCCAAGACCUCUCCCCACCCCAGAGGUCACUAAUUACUGUUAUUUCUAAACAUUUACUUGAUAAUAUAUGUACCUGAAGUAUAUGUUUGCUUUAUUUUGUUGUACACAAGUGGAACCAUUUUGUUUGUACUAUCUUGCAACCUUCCAAUUUACACUUUACAAUGUGUCAUAGAAAUUGGUCCACUGCAACACUUUGGCAGUGCUUUAGAAUUCCAAAACACGAGCCAUGGCUUACGUUGGCCUUUACUGAUUGACAUUUCCAGUAAGCAUCAUUGGUCAUGCUUUUUGGCCACGGGUGUGAGAAUUUCUCUAGGAUGGAUAUCUACAAGUUGAAUUACUGCCAUAAAGCUGUAUGUAUUUUUAAUUUUAAUUAAUAUUGCCAAAUUACCUUCCAAAAACUGUGACCAAUUUACACCUCCAACCUACAGUUUAUGAAUUGUAUCUGUUCUCUGUACCCUUGCCAACAGCCUUGGCAUAUUUCAUUGCAUUUCUCUAAGUAUCAGUGAGGUUGGUUUUUUUCUCCCUCUCUUAUUUGCCAUUUGUCUUUUCUUUUCAGUUAAUUGCUUCUUCCUAUUUUUUGUCUGUUUCCUACCUGGGUGGCUUGACUCUUCUUUUUUUCUUAAAAUUGAUUUUAGUUGAUUAUAUGGUGUAGAUAUUUGGAGGAAUUUCUAAACUUCUGGAAGGCAGGAAUCAUAUCUUAAUCCUUUUUAUAUUCCUUGGACCUACCACUGUGCUAAAUUAUUUUUGUGGCGUUUAUGAAAUUAAAGACUGAUUUUCAUUAAGCCUCAACUACUUGUGACAUGACAAAGCCACACACACACACACACACACACACACACACACACACACACACACAUACAGGAACAUAACUAGACUAAAAGUUGAUAUCUUGACAAGGGCCAGCACCGUGCAAAAAAUCUGGUCAGGAAAUGAAAAAGAUUUAAACACAUUUUUAUGAGGAAAUUGCCACAUCCUUUUUAUUAGGAAUUGAAAUGGGAACAAGGAGAAAAAACCCAAAGAAAGCUGUGUUCAAGGACAGACACACAGUCUGAUUUGCACCAUCAGGAAGUCUUUGGAUGAAUGGAUGGGGAGCUGAGUAGAACAGCUUUAAUUCUCAGUUGUCAAGACAACUCUGUUCCAACAGAUACUGUCAGAGGCUUUCUUCAACAGUCCUCACCUUCCCACUGCUUACAAAGCUCUCUGUUAAGACUCUCUACUCUCUAAACCACAUUGUCACAUGGAUGUUGGGUCAAGAGGCAGGUGACAUGACUCUAUUCCAGAGGACAACCUACCCCUCUCCCUGCUUCAUCUUCCUGCCUUGUCUCUCCCAGUGCCCUCUUCCUACCCCUCUGCCACCUCUAUAUUCCAAUAGGUUUUCCUGACUUUUCCAAACCAAUCAGUUUUCCAUCCCAUCCCCACUGAUUAUUGAAGAUUAUGUUCAUGCUCUCAAACACUGCUGAUGAGAGUACAAAUUGGUAGUGUCUUUCUAGAGGAUAAUGUGGCAGUAUGUUUCAAAAAUCUUAAAAAAUGGCAUAUCAUGGGCUUAAAAAUGAUUCUUCUGUCUUGGCCGAGAGUCCACUGCCUGCUAAUGCUGAAAAAUAUUCCCCUUGGCGGGGCCUUGAGACCUCCAUCCUCAUCUCUUUCUCUAACCUCAAAGACAAGCGUAAACUAGGCAGAGUCCAAGUCAGAUUGAUGCCGUUAGCCCUGAAAAGGGUGAAAUCAUCAUCUCUUGUCCAGGAAUCCUAGUGGUAGAGUUGUUGGCACCAGUCACCUCCUCCAUUCUCUUGCAGUGAAGGUGAUAUGGUUAGUGUGUAUUUGUGUUACCAUCCAAAGGAGAAUACCAGCCUUUUAAAGGUGAGCAUUAGUUCUCUAAAGACAAAUAUUAUGGGUGCAUAUGUUCCAUCAUCCAUCAUUGUCAUCUCUCAGCUCCACAUCUGCCCUUCUGUACUUGGUUUGAGUUGGAAGUCUGCAAACUACAUUUCUUAAGUUCUCUUACCGGCCAGAUUAUUAUGUGUCCCACCAAUAGAAAACAUCACGAGGAAACCAGAUGGCAGGAGGAAGCACAAAUCUUCCAACUUCUGGCUCCAACAGUGUGGGGGUUGCUGGCAGCAGCUGGCAUUUGCUUGUGGUUGCAAGUGCUGCUAUAGUGAUGUCGUGGAGUGCUAUAGUGAUAAAGAUAGAGAUACAGACAUAUAGAUAAGGAUAAUGAUAUAACGUGUGGUGCUAUAGUGGUGCAGUGCAGGGUCAGGGUGACUUUAGACUUCAGCAGUCCCACCUCUGGCCAGUGCAGCACCGCUUUUUCAUACCCAAAACUGACUGUAGUUGUCUCACCACAAACUGGCUGCUCUCACCUGUCUCAGGGAUGCAGCACAGUGCUGUUAGCAGCUUCUCAUCCAUGGGUAUUACCCCCUGUUUCCUGUCUGCCUCAGUGUUCCUUUUGCUUUUUUAAAUCUUUAGAGCAUCUUUGUUACUGCUUUCCCUGUGUUACAUUUCCUCUGUUUGAAAUACUUUAUAGGGGUUUCUCUUUACCUGAUCACUUUCUUUGUGAAACACUCUGGUUUCCUGAUGUCUGUAACACUUUUAUUGAUCUUUUACUUUAACCCUACUGCCUAGCAUACUACAUAAGACACAAAAGUCUUAUAAGUGUGAGGAUGUAGGUGGGAGAAUAUUCUUGGAGAGUUUGUUUUUAUUUGGCAAGUGGGUUUAUGCAUGUUACUCAAAUAUAUUAAAUAUACAUUUACUUUAUGGAAGUCCCGUCAUGGCUCUACAGUAGCAAACUGGACUAGUAUCCAUGAGGAUGCAGGUUUGAUCCCUGGCUUCACUCAGUGGGUUAGAAAUCCAGCAUUGCCAUGAGCUGUGAUAUAGGUCACAGAACACAGCUCGGAUCCCGCGUUGCUGUGGCUGUGAUAUAGGCCAGCAGCUACAGCUCUGAUUCAACCCCUAGCUUGGGAACUUCUAUAUGCUUCAGGUUUAGCCUUAAAAACCAAAAUAUAUAUGUAUAUAUGUGUAUAUGUUGUAUACAUAUAUAUAUGUAUGUAUACACACAUGCAUAUAUAUAUAUAUAUGUAUUCACUUUAGUGCCCCCUCUAAGCCAGCCUCCUCCCCAUCUCAAUCUUUGUGGUUUGAAUGGGACUGACUCCCAUCCAGUGGCUCCAAGUGAGUACCUAGGAAGCAAUUUGGGCCAAUAUAAAGAAUUUUCUGGGAGUUCCCUUUGUGGCUCAGUGAACCCAACUGAGAUCCAUGAGUAUAUGAGUUCGAUCCCUGGCCUCACUCAGUGGGUUAAGGACCCAGCGUUGCUGUGAGCUGUGGUGUAGAUCACAGAUGCAGCUCAAAUCCUGCAUUGCUAUGGCUGUGGCAUAGGCUGGCAGCUGUAGCUCCGAUUUGACCCCCAGCCUGGGAACUUCCAUAUGCUGUGUCCC
rnacentral:lncRNA from 1 species